UGAAUGUCUAUGUAAUGCAUGGUAUGG
rnacentral:piRNA from 1 species